GCAGGUCCCAGAAGGUGGCGACUUUCCUGGGCCUGUGGCGCCUUGGCGCAGGUGGAGAGGUCAGGCUGGAGGGGGCUUUGGCCUCCGGCGUUGGGAAAUGGCGGCGGGGGUCAGAAUAGAAGACGGUUCCUUGGACAUUAUCCAGAGUAUUGAAGAGGACCCACUUCUGGAUGCCCAGCUUCUCCCGCAUCACUCAUUACAAGCUCAUUUUAGACCCAGAUUCCACCCUCUUCCUACAGUCAUCAUAGCAAAUCUUCUUCUGUUUAUCCAUGUUGUGUUUGUUAUUUUAGCGUUCUUGACAGGUGUGCUUUGUUCUUACCCUGACCCAAACGAGGACAAGUGCCCUGGAAACUACACCAACCCACUGAAAGUCCAGACAGUCAUAAUCCUAGGAAAAGUCAUUUUGUGGAUUCUGCACUUACUUCUGGAACGCUACAUUCAGUAUCACCACAGCAAAGUGAGAAACCGUGGCUAUAACCAGAUCUACCGAGCCACAAGGCAUCUGAAGAGCCUCGCCCUGGUGACACACUCCACCGGAAACACGAUGCUCCUCCUCAUACUGUGCAUGCAGCAUUCUUUCCCUGAGCCCAGCAGGUUGUACCUUGACCUCAUUCUGGCCAUCCUGGCCCUGGAACUGCUCUGCUCCCUGACCUGUCUGCUCAUUUAUGCAGUGAAAAUUAGAAAAUUUAAUAGAGACAAACCACAGCCUGAUGUACUUGAAGAAGAAAAAAUCUAUGCUUACCACAGCAAUAUUACCUCGGAAACCGGAUUAAGGACUAUUUCAAGCCUAGAAGAAAUUGUUGAAAAGCAAGGAGACAUAAUAGUGUACUUGAAGCGACACAAUGCCCUGUUGAGUAAGCGGCUGUUGGCACUCACUUGCUCAGACCUAGCCUCUCAGCCAAGUAGGACAUGAGAGGCUCACAGGCGUGAUCAUGGCUGAAGAGUUCAGAGCAACCUCAGACUGAAGGACGGCCUGUCCUGCUGCCCUAGGGAACCACAGCCCUUGCUGAAAAACAUUGUGUAGCGUGUUGGAAACUUGAACUUGGUUCUCACCUGUGUGGCUGUUUAGUAGAUGGGGCUUAUGGAUCAUUUGAAAGCCUGGGGAGGUGAACUCAGGAGGCUUGGAUCGUGGAGGAGGAGGAGAUCCCCUUACCCAUAACUGCUGCAAAUGCUGGUCCACCAAGUUCUGGAAAUGUAGAUGACCAGUACCAUGAUCUGCCUUCUGAUGCCCCUGUGGUGCAUUUAUGAAGGGAGCCUCAGCCUUACAACAGAUAUAUCUUGGGGAUUCAGGUCCUCCUUGGGCCUCCAUUCCCUAUGGCAUAGAACAACUCGUGAAAAUUCACACCUUACCUAGAAAACAUGAUCCCACCAGCCCAGAUAGGUCUCUCUUCCCAGAAUGCCUUGACUGAGGGGGUGUGGCUGGCAUUGAUCUUCUUGGUACCUUCUGACCCAGUCAUGGCUCCUGACAGAAGUCUGUUACCCAAAUCCAGACCAGUGGACAGAUAGUUCCAAACACCUUUCACGGAUGGGAUCCAACCUACCCAGAGCUGAGCUCCAGGAUUUGUACUUUUAUGUAAGAUAAGCUACCUUUUUUUUUUUUAAAGGGGGGUGUGUGCUGGGGAUGGAUAGUGGUAAAGCAUCCCUAAAUUCA